UGACAACUGAAUUGAGAAGUCAACACGAUCCACAAUACAACAAACAUGUUUAUUGAUAUAGGCAAUUUGAUCCAAUUUGUGCAAUAUUUCUCAUGUGUGUUGACACCGUAUUUAUCUAUUUAUAUUAUAAACAAAUAACCACUAUCUUUUUUUAAACUUUUUGUUUUUAUACCUACAUUGACAACCAAUAGGAUUCUAAAUUACAUUCAUGAUCUACAUGCAAUGUAAUUUGUACAUAGUCUGAGUGGAUAAUAAGAUUAAUUUAGAAUCUUGAAAACAGACAUCGUUCUGAUUAUUUGAAAAGUAACAUUUCUCCAUAUUAACCCAGACUGGGGCAAACCUAAUGCAAGAUAAAUUCUCUUAACAGAGACGAAAGCAACAUGAUUCAUUUGAUCACCUACCCUCAUAUCAACGGUCACUAAUAAUGUCAUAAUGAUCUGUCUGUAUUAUUAUUGCAUUUGUGAUCUCUAUACUGUCUCAGUCUGUGAGAGUGCCAUCUGUCAAUCAGUGUUAAUGUCCCUCUGAGAUGUUUUUUCCAGGAAUAUUAAACAGAGCUCUUGUUCAUACUGAACAGGGUCCUGCCUCCACAGGAUGAGCAGGUAAAGAAAAUUAAUGGAUUGAUGGUGCGAGAGAGAAACUAAUGUGGUUACCCACAGUAAAUGUAUACUCAAGAUCUUGUAAUGAAAUUACACGAGUAAAUUACUGACUCAGAAUUAGUCUUUGCACUAAGCAGUCUGGUUACCUACUGUGUGUAUAAUGUAUGAUAUUUGCUGUGUUGGCUCUGUGCUCCAACACUUUCCCUUUGAAAAGAAUCCAUAGAUUCUGAUGGACAGAACAAGGUGGAGAAAAACAGCCUCAAACAUAACAAAUGUGACAGUCAGCACUUUACCCUGAGCAAUUGUUUAUCUUGAUAUCAAAUAUGCUUGAGCCAAAGCAGGACACAUUUAAAUUUUCAAAAACACUUAAACAAGAUCUUAUGUGUAUUGUAUCUGAUAAAUGUAGAGACAAUCAAACACAAGGCUCUGCUUCUUAAUAACUGGUAUACAGCCAUAAAAACUGGAUAAAGAAUGUCUUAAAAAGAUUCCAAAACCCAGGAUGUACUCAAAGGAUAGGCUACCCCUAUUUUUAGGACCAGAUGGUACAUCCCAGUCUCUCCUCCUCUCCCUCUCCCUCUCCUCCCUCCUACUUUCAGUGUCCUCCAUCUCUCUGCGUUCUCUCAUUUUCUUAUAUUAAGGACAUCCUGACUCCCAGACUCUGGUGGUUCCGUCGCCAUCUGUUAUUCUUGUGAUCUCUACAGAAGCUGUUGGAGAGUGAAGCAGCACAGAGCUGACCUUAUAUAAAGACUACUUCAGACCAGACCCCACCUUUGUCCCCAAGUCCAUGGAAGCCAAGGCCAAGUCCGGAGCUCCAGCGCCCAAGGCAGCAUCUAAAGCUGAGAAGAAGGAGCCGGCACCAGCCCGCAAGGCUGACCCUGCACCUGCACCUGCAGCCCCUGAGCCUGAGCCUGAGCUUCCUCCUGCUCAGGAUGGAGAACCAGAGGCUGACGCCGCAGCAGCAGGUGAUGAGGGUGCGGCCUCCUGCACAGACACUCUGGAACACCUGAAACCCUUUCUCAUUGGUGGUGCCGUCAUUGCUGCAGGAGCCAUCUUGCUGGGAGUGCUGCUACUGACAAGGAGAAAUUAGUGUUGUUGAUGGUUCACAGACUACGUGGUACAUAUGGGGGAUGGGGAGCCACUGUGCAAAUUACAUUUUUUUUCCUUUCUUGGCCUGCUUUCAAUCGUAGUGAAUCGAACAAUUCCAGUUUGAUCAAGGCUGUAUAUGGAGCAUAGUUUGUUAUAGCAUACGCAUGCCUCAAAUCUGCAUCUGAACUGUAAUUAUUAAUUUCUUAAGAAUAAAAAUCACACUGUACUGAGCUUAAGAACUAAAACUCUCUACAGGUAGCUUAUGCAACUGCUUUAUCUUGUUUUAUCCUGUUUGGACAAAUAUUGAUAUAAUCGUGCAAUAUUUGAACAUUCUUGCACAGGAAAUUAGCUUGGUUUACUUUGCUAAAAGAUUAUGAAAAACUGUUGAAACUUGUAGAUAUUAAUUCUGACCAACAGAGUUGUUCGAGGAGAGACAGAGAGAAAAAACAACCCUGAAAACAACUGAGAAUAUCCAUUGUGAUGAUUUGCACAUAUUGAGGCUAAAUCAGUGCCUAACUCUUUCUUCAGAAUACUUGGAGAAAGACAGUGUUCCUGCAUAUUCCCAAAAAAUGUCAAAUAGAGAAUGGCCCACUGCAAUUUAAAGAAAUAACAUUCAUAUAUAAGCAUGCAGUGGUAUAAGAAGUGGAUAUAGGGAGUUGUUGGAUAUAUAUAACAAGUACAGUGUGUGACACAAACGAAUGGUGGAGUUAGUCUUGCUGUAGAAUAAGAAGAAACAGUUUGAGUUUACUGUAAUGUCUGAAAUCAAUAACCUUUUAUGUCUUACACAAUAGCCACAGUUGUGCUGGUUCAAUCUGUUACCAUCUCACAGUAGUUACUUAGCUGUAGCAGCCAUUCGUGUUGAGGUAUCAGGUUUUAAACCUGCUGCCAACAUGGGAGUUGUUUCUGUUUUCACUGUUCUCCCCUUGUGUGGCUUUAGGAAAAUAAUCCUGAUUUCAAAACCUCAUUAAUACCAAGGUACAACUUUCAUGGGAUGAACGUAUCCUACAUCUUUAAUAAUGUCAGAGAAGUGUAGAUGAACUACUGUUGUAUAGUCUACUCAAAAGAAAAUAUCAAGCAGUCACAGUUUCCCUACUGCGUCCACUUGCCUGCACAUCUGUAAACACUAUUGUCCACUCACAUGUAAUAGUUACAAGACAAUUCUAGCACAUAUCAUUACCUGAUUUUAGUUGUAAGGGAACCACAUAUAUUAUACAAACAUACCACAUUCACCACAGUCAACACCCCAGACACAUCCAAAAGAUAGUAUGCCCACACCGAAACAAACUUCACCAGUGUACAAUACAGUGUACAAAAAAAAGGAAAAACCCUAUUUUCAUAAAUUCAACAGCGUAUAAAUGCAAUAAUUCAGAUAGGACUCAUCAUUUAGCACCUGUGCUGUAGCAAGUUCAAUGAUGAUGUAUAAUAUUGUAGGUGAUUAUGAUGUAUGAUGCUGCUGAUGGUAAUGAUGGUAAUCUUGUUGAUGAUGAUGAUGGUAAUGAUGGUUAUGGUAUAUUUUUGAUAUAUUUCUAAUAUUUUCCUUUUGCACACUCCCCCCUCUGCCCCCAAACCGCUAAUGUAAAAAAAGAAGGAGGCUGUAAUCCAAACUUUAUUAAAGGCAGUGAACCAGC